rnacentral:rRNA from 1 species
GAUGAACGCUGGCGGCGUGCCUAAUACAUGCAAGUCGAGCGAACAGACGAGGAGCUUGCUCCUCUGACGUUAGCGGCGGACGGGUGAGUAACACGUGGAUAACCUACCUAUAAGACUGGGAUAACUUCGGGAAACCGGAGCUAAUACCGGAUAAUAUAUUGAACCGCAUGGUUCAAUAGUGAAAGACGGUUUUGCUGUCACUUAUAGAUGGAUCCGCGCCGCUUUAGCUAGUUGGUAAGGUAACGGCUUACCAAGGCGACGAUGCGUAGCCGACCUGAGAGGGUGAACGGCCACAGUGGAACUGAGACACGGGCCAGGCUCCUACGGGUGGCAGCAGUAGGGAAUCUUCCGCAAUGGGAGAAAGCUUGACGGAGCAACGCCGCGCGAGUGAUGAAGGUCUUCGGAUCGUAAAACUCUGUUAUUAGGGAAGAACAAAUGUGUAAGUAACUAUGCUCGUCUUGACGGUACCUAAUCAGAAAGCCACGGCUAACUACGUG